UUCCGUGUCUCCCGACCAGAACGGAGCCAGACCUCGGACGCCGGGAAGGCGUGGAGUCGUCAGCAAUUCGUGCCUGUACGGGGCCAGCAAGAGCCAGGAUAGUCUGUCACCCGUCCCGGAGUGAGGGGGGUAUCCGGGGACAUCACAUGCAGCAUUCGGCCCAGAGAAUCCUGUGAUCUGCACAGCGGGGGACAUCACAUGCAGCAUUCGGCCCAGAGGAUCCUGCGAUCUGCACAGCAGAGUAGGGAAUCAACAGCAAG